rnacentral:rRNA from 1 species
GAGGGGGGCGGCAUCAAAAACAUAGAAAGGGAGCUAGGGGGGGUGCUGCUCACUCCSCAGCGGCRKACGGGUGAGUAAGCCUAUGAAUCUGCCUGGCAGUGGGGGACAACGUUUCAAAGGGAACGCUAAUACCGCAUACGUCCUACGGGAGAAAGCAGGGGACCUUCGGGCCUUGCGCUAUCAAAUGAACCUAGGCCGGAUUAGCUAGUUGGUGAGGGAAUGGCUCACCCACGCGACGAUCCGUAACUGGUCUGAGAGGAAGAUCAAUCACACUGGAACUGAGACACAGACCAGACUCCUACGGGAGGCAGCAGUGGGGAAUAUUGAACAAUGGGCGAAAGCCUGAUCCAGCCAUGCCGCGUGCGUGAAUAAGGACUUCGGAUUGUAAAUCACUUUAAUUUGGGAGGAAGGGCAUUAACCUAAUACGUUAGUGUUUUGACGUUACCGACACAAUAAGCACCGGCUAACUCUGUGCCAGCAGCCGCGGUAAUACAGAGGGUGCAAGCGUUAAUCGGAAUUACUGGGCGUAAAGCGCGCGUACGUGGUUUGUUAAUUUGAAUGUGAAAGCCCCGGGCUCAACCUGGGAACUGCAUCCAAAACUGGCAAGCUAGANUACGGUAGAGGGNGGUGGAAUUUCCUGUGUAGCGGUGANAUGCGUAGAUAUAGAUAANGAACACCAAUGGCGAAGGCGACCACCUGNCACUGAUACUGACACUGAGGUGCG